UCUAGCUCCUAGAUAGGGGAGGCGGACUGGGUGGAUUUAGCUAUAUUUAUCAUAUUAAAUAAAUAAGUGUCUAUUUAUACUUAAUGAACACAAUUUUGUUGAGAUACAUAAAAGUGAUAUACAAAUUAUAAAGUAUUAGACCGUAUUGAAAAAUGGGGGAACAAACAUAUAAUGAGUGUUCAUUCAAGUGUUCAACAAAUCUCUCACAUUUUAUUGAAAACAUAAAAUGGAAAAUGAAAGUAGUCAAUUUUUUUUGUCUAAAUGAGAGUUGUAACAUAGGCAGGUUUAGGCGGGCAAAUGUGGAUGCCUAGACGGGCCAGGUGGACGCCUAAGCAAGUCUAGACCCACUUUCUUAAAUUUAAAAUACCUAGAAAUUAAUCAGAACAAUGGUCAGCCGUCUAGCGCUUAGACGAAGAUUUUAAGAUCAGUGCACAUAAUAAAUGCAAACAAAUUAUUGAUAUUAUGCAUUUCAGAUAAUUUUAUACUCCAUAAAAAUCCAAAUAGUGGUCCACCAAAUUGAUCAAUCAAAAAUUCAAUUACGUGUUUGCAUGUUGACUUCUUAUGUAAACAACUUCUUGUUGGUGAUGCAACUCAUGUCUUCUCCUUUGGAAAAACCUUUCCCGAAGACCUUGCUUUCAGGAGAGGGUUGAAAGGGCAAUCCACCGGUUGCCUUGUAAGUUUAGUUUUCUUUUUUCAUUACAGAAUAAUAUUUUUCAUAUGCUGAAGAAAAUAAUAAUUUUAUUCAUAGACCAAGUGCAAAAUCUCCAGAUAAUUUGUGGAUGCCAAUACGUUUUUACCAUUCAAUCCACACCUGUUUACGGAGUUUCACUUUCUUCAUAACAACAUUCACUCUAAUAUUUUUUACUGGAAAAAAAGGGAAUGAUUUACACUAGAAACUGCAAAAAUAAUAUUGUACGACUGAGAAUACACAAAUAUAGUUGCAAGAGUUGAUCAGUUGUGAAGUGGGUUUGGUCCCUGUGGAACUUCUCGUAAGGAAACACUGUUAUUUCGAUCGGUCACACAAGAUCCCUCCUCUGGAGAUUCUGUGGAGACAUGCAAUGAAUUUCUGGAAUAGAAUCCAGAUUUUUCUGUUUGCUUGGCUCCUUCAACUUUCAUUCUGUCGAUGUGAUGAUAACUCGAUAUCUGACUGAUCAUAGCAUGAUCAUGAAGGCCACCACACAUACAAAUCUGAGACGCUGAAUUCUCAUGAUUCUAUAAGAUGAAGAUUUAGGAAAACUGAGUUUGUUUCUCAUUUUUCAAAUGCAAGAAGCUGGUGUGAAGGCUUUUAAUAUGGGAUGAGGCAAACUUGUGGUAAAGAUAGAGCCAAAACUCACAAUUAAUUCUACUGAAAUGACAUAAAUGCCCAAUCUUUCGUCCUGAAUUGAACAAGCCUAACCGCUCAAAUUGUGGAAAUGGUCAUCUUCUUGUUGUUAUCCAUUCUAUUGUUUGGGUUAUGCUAUAAAAAAAAGAAGGGUUAAACUCUGUUUACUACCCUCAUGUUUCAUGGU
rnacentral:lncRNA from 1 species